rnacentral:rRNA from 1 species
GACGAACGCUGGCGGCGUGCUUAACACAUGCAAGUCGAACGAUGAAGCCUAGCUUGCUAGGUGGAUUAGUGGCGAACGGGUGAGUAAUACGUGAGUAACCUACCUUUAACUCUGGGAUAAGCCCGGGAAACUGGGUCUAAUACCGGAUACGACCAAUCUCCGCAUGGGGUGUUGGUGGAAAGCGUUAUGUAGUGGUUAUAGAUGGGCUCACGGCCUAUCAGCUUGUUGGUGAGGUAACGGCUCACCAAGGCGACGACGGGUAGCCGGCCUGAGAGGGUGACCGGCCACACUGGGACUGAGAGACGGCCCAGACUCCUACGGGAGGCAGCAGUGGGGAAUAUUGCACAAUGGGCGCAAGCCUGAUGCAGCGACGCCGCGUGAGGGAUGACGGCCUUCGGGUUGUAAACCUCUGUUAGCAGGGAAGAAGAGAGAUUGACGGUACCUGCAGAGAAAGCGCCGGCUAACUACGUG